AAAGAAUUUACUUCCUUGUGAGGGAUUGGUAUUUACCUGUAGUAAGUGUAUCGUUUAGACGAAUGGAUUUGUAUUUUCAUUCAUUUCAAAACACAUUUCUACAACAUUGAUUCGUAAAUAAUGAAGAUAAUAAAACAGAUUAUGAUAGGGACUGGUAGUGCUAGUUUUCUGAUGGUCAUUAUUGGAUUUGUAACACCAGGAUGGCUUAUCGUUAACGUUGAUUUGCCAAAAAUGCAGGAGCAGGAAAUGAAGAAACAACCUGUUUGGAUGCAGAAACAAUAUAAGGAAAGAUUAGCCCUUAUGAAAAAGGACCCAAACAAACCUGAUAUGCAAGAUUUAAGAAUAACAUUUGGACCAUUUUAUAUGCGAUACUGCAUGACGAUGAAAAUUGGAACGAUUUCUACUGAUAUAUGUGUAAUGAUGUCAUCAGGCAAUGCCAUAGAUUUGUUGAAAACUACAAUGCGAAAUAAUAAUUCAGCUAUGCAAAUGGUGGAGGAACUGCACAAAAAUGGAAUCAAUAUAUCGAUAGAAUCAAUGAUUAAUAUUUGUAUAGCCAUAAUUGUUGUUUGCUCACUAACUUUGAUACAGUCAUUUGUCUCCUUGGUUUUGACCUUAGUGUACAGCUGUAAACGGUAUCCACGAAAAAUACUUGGAGUUGUUGGUAGUAUCUCCUUAAUUCUUUCAGGUACAAUCACUUUCCUCUUUGUAAUCAUAUAUUUAAUAAUGAAUGGACAGUACACGAAUGUGUUAACUGCACAACAUCUUGAAGACGCUUUGGAUUUAGGGUUUCCUUACUCGCCUGUAUUAUGUAUGUUGGGAUCUAUCAUGUAUUUUGUUUGUGCCGGCAUACUUAUUAAUUUGACAAAGAACUCAAAAGGACAGUAUAACUAUGAGAUGAUGGUUAUUGAUACGUCAACGGGUGGUAGUACGUAUAUUGCAAAGACAUGAAUUGUUAUGGUUUUUUUUAACUUUUGUAGUUUCUGAAGUUUUUUUUUAAACAUUUCAACUCAUAUUAUAUAUGAACGAGGAAAUAAGUAUCUACCUAUACCUAUUAUGUUUGUGAUAUUGUUUAUGUUAAAAGUGUGAUCAACGCUCAAACAAAGGUAAAAGAUAUAUGAAAAAAGGAAAGGAGUUAAGUAACUAUUUAAUACAGGGUUGAUACGAAGAGGGAUGUGCGCCGAUUAAGAAAAAAAGGAAAACGGAUAGGUUUUUCAUAACAAAAAUGCAAAAUAUGAAAAUGUAUGUCAGUUUUUAAAUCUUAAGCCUUUCCAAUGAACUUCAUGACUUGUGGUUAUGAAGUAGCAUAUUUUUAAUGAGCAGCAUGCUAUUGUUAAUCAUUUUAUUAAUAUUAAAUAUAAUGAUUUAUAUUAUUAUAAAUAAACAUAUUAUAUCAAAAGAAUUUUUCGUAAAACAGGACAUUUCAUUAUGAUUUAAUAAAGGAAUCUUCAUGAUAUUUUAAGAAAAUAUUCUUAUUUAGAAAGGGUUGUGAAGACCUGAAAGAACCUGCAAUAAGUUACCAGAUUAAAUAUUAUUCAUUCAAAAUAUAUUUUACAGGUUGACAAAAAUAAGAACAUUUGUGAUAGAGAUUAUACAUGUAUAACCCCAGCUUCGUCAUCUGUAUAUACCAAUAAAUAAAUAAGUGGUGACGCCUUGCAAGAUAUUGACCUCAUUCAAAUAGAUUUUACAGGUUGACAAAUAUAAGAAACUUUGUGAUAGAGAUUAUACAUGUAUAACACCAGCUUCGUCAUCUGUAUAUACCAAUAAAUAAAUAAGUGGUGACGCCUUGCAAGAUAUUGACCUCAUUCAAAUAGAUUUUACAGGUUGACAAAUAUAAGAACAUUUGUGAUAGAGAUUAUACAUGUAUAACCACAGCUUCGUCAUCUGUAUAUACCAAUAAAUAAAUAAGUGGUGACGACUUGCAAGAUAUUGACCUCAUUCAUUGGAUAAUGCAGUUCACGAUUUGCUACGGGAAACACUAUAAUUAUUGUGAUACAAAUAAAAAACAAAUGGGAAAAAUUGUAUUAUAAAAACUCAUCAAAUACACCAGGCUUAUAUUGGUACACUAGAAGCACAUUUCGUCUACAUAAGACAUAUAAGUGGCUCUGGAAUCAAAACAGUUAGAAGGUUUUAUCAAAUAUGAAGUUGAAGAGCAUCAAAAUCGAAAAUUCCAAAAAGUUGUGUCAAAUAAGAGUAAGGCAAUUUAUGCGUUGGGGUAAAAUAACAAAAAUAUAGAACUCAUAAGGAAAAUUCAAAACGGAAAGUCCCUUAUCAAAUAGCAAAAUCAAAAGCUCAAACACAUCAAACGAAUAGAAAACAACUGUCUUAUUCCUGACUUGGUACAGGCAUUUCCUUAUGUAGAAAAUGAACCCUUAGUGUUUCGAAUUAUUUAACAUUUCAAAAACAGUAAAUUUAUCGAAAAUGAACAUGUCAACGAUAUUGGGUUGGCGAUACCAUCGGGGAUUAAACAAACGUUUAUAUAUCAUUUACACUGCAAUCCUGUCAGUGGUUAAUAGAAUUAACAUAAUACUCAAAGGGGCAUCAGCUACGAUUUAGACAAAAUGUGAAUAAGUAUGUUUCAAACAUUUAUAAAAACGGUUUUUAUAUAAAAUUUUAAGUCAAAUUGAUGAUCAUAAUUUUUUUGGAUAUAAGAUAUGUAUAUCUGCUGUUGUAGACAUGACAAAGACUACAUUUGCCAUAGGAUCUUCAAAAUCAUUUGAAUCAAAGCCUAACAUGAUUCAAGUAGAAGCUCUAUGGUACAACAUCUGGAAAAAUCAUUGAAAUCUAUUCAGUGGUUUUGGUGAAAUUGUCGAAACAAGAUGACUUCUCUAUUUCCACAUAUGACAAAAACAUGCUAUGUUACGGAAAACACCACAUUAUUCGGAUAAAAAAUAAAAACAAAAGAUAUACAAUGUCACUUCGUAAGCAAUAUUCAAUUGCAAUGAAUUUAUAACGAUCGGGUGUUUAGGUUGGCCAUUGAAUAAAACGGUUUGUAAAUUUCAUGGUUCAGUUCAAUGUUUGAACAGUCAUUAUCCGUUUAUAAUAUUCAUCCGCCGUUUAAAAUUUUGAACAAAGUAGAAGAGGUAGUAUAUGAGAUGAUCUACUGAGUUGAGAAGUAAGGAUCUUGAUGUUGCUGAAGAAAAAAAAUUAGCAAACCAGAAAGACGAGGAGUAGACCGAAUUCCAGACAAUAUCAUCAAGUUUGCAGACGUUAGUUAAUAUAACAAAAAUCAAAAUCAUAACAAUUAUAGAUUUAAUGACCUGUUUAUCUUAUUCCAGUCCUGCACUAGGUCAUGUUUUUCUCUUACUGUUAAUAGCGUCUUUACACUAAAUCCUUUCGAUGUUGCAAUUGUACUGAUUGAUACUUUAGCCUUAGAUACAUGAUUUUUUUAUUAGUUGUUAUUGGCUUUGAACUAGCUGUCAGUAACAGCUAGUACUCUCAGAUCUGUACUUAGUGUAUUUUUUGUUGUAGGGAUGUAUCAAUACCCUGCCACGUCCGGUCUGUGCUUUUUACUUGUCCCAGGUUAGGGGGAGGGUUGGGCACCUGCUAACAUGUUUAAUACCGCCACAUUCUGUUUGUGUCUGUCCCAAGUCAGAAGCCUGUAAUUCAGUGGUUGUCGUAUCUUGCUGUAUAUCAUAUUUGUAUUGCUUUAAUUGUUUUUUACAUAAGUUAGGCCGUUAGUUAUCUCGUUUCAAAUGUUUGACAUUUGUCAUUUCGGGGCCUUUUAUAGCUGACUAUGCGGUAUGGGUGUUGCUCAGUGUCGAAGGCCGUACGGUCAUUUGGUCUCUGGUGGAGAGUUGUCCCAUUGGCAAUUAUACCACAUCUUCUUCUUUUUAUACUAAAGUCUUUUUAAAUUUUCGUCUCGCAAUUUUAUAGAUCCUCUUUAUUAUUUCAAAUGUAUCCGUUUCAUUGAUUCUCUUGCCUGUUGCAAACUAAAUAUAUAUGAUUUUCCUUCAAACCCUAUUCCUUCUUGCUACAUAUAUUUUGCCACUUUUAUCAAAUUUUCUUGUUGUCCCUAUCAAUACAAUAUUUGUUAAUAAAAAUACAAAAUCUGUACCUUCCAGUAUGAACAAUCGUAUCUUAAAUAUACAAAACGAUUAGAAAUUAAAGAAUGUGACGCGCUGAAAUACUUUGAGUUUUAAACUUUUUGCGACGUCAAAAUUGCAAUGCAAAAACAACUACUGUAUCUAAGCAAUAAUCCUCCAUUUAAAACAUGAUUAUAUAUUAUUUUUUUUGUACACAGUUGUUUGUCUGUUGGUAGUUUUUCGUUUUUUGUCAUGGCAUUGUCAUGUCGUUUUCGACUAACGAGUUUGAUUAUCCUUUUCGUAUAUUCCGCCUCUCUAUUUAGAAUGAUUUUUUAGAUUGUUUCAAUUUUUGCAUUUAAUACGCUAGCCUGUAUAACAUCCUUUGGAAUUCGCCGAAACAAUUUAAUAAUGAAAACUGUCACUGUCCUGAACUAGCUUUGUGUAGGUUAUAACAAAACCAGUGUCUAUGGAAUGUAAUUAUUGCUGCCAACAUUUACCAUAUUAUGUCAUGUUAGUCGAGAUAUUUAAUGAUGUUAAUGUGUUUAAUCUUUUAUUUAUGUAUUAAGUAAAAUAUGUCAAACUUGC